AUUGAACGCUGGCGGCAGGCUUAACACAUACAAGUCGAGCGGGGUGAUGGUGCUUGCACUAUCACUUAGCGGCGGACGGGUGAGUAAUGCUUAGGAAUCUGCCUAUUAGAGGGGGACAACAUUUCGAAAGGAAUGCUAAUACCGCAUACGUCCUACGGGAGAAAGCAGGGGAUCUUCGGACCUUGCGCUAAUAGAUGAGCCUAAGUCGGAUUAGCUAGUUGGUGGGGUAAAGGCCUACCAAGGCGACGAUCUGUAGCGGGUCUGAGAGGAUGAUCCGCCACACUGGGACUGAGACACGGCCCAGACUCCUACGGGAGGCAGCAGUGGGGAAUAUUGGACAAUGGGCGGAAGCCUGAUCCAGCCAUGCCGCGUGUGUGAAGAAGGCCUUAUGGUUGUAAAGCACUUUAAGCGAGGAGGAGGCUACUUUAGUUAAUACCUAGAGAUAGUGGACGUUACCCGCAGAAUAAGCACCGGCUAACUCUGUGCCAGCCGCCGCCGUAACAC
rnacentral:rRNA from 1 species